GACGAACGCUGGCGGCGUGCCUAAUGCAUGCAAGUCGCACGGGUCGCCUUCGUGAGGUCCGUGGCGAACGGCCGAGGAGCACGUUGAGACCUAUCCUUCAGUGGGGGACAACACCGCGAAAGCGGUGCUAAUCCCGCCAACGCCCUGCGGGGGAAAGCGGCAGCAAUCCCGCGCUGGAGAGUGGCCCGGCGGCCCAUCAGGUUGUUGGCGGGGUACCAGCCCACCGAGUCCGUGACGGGUCGCUGGUCGGUGAGGACGACCAGCCAGACUGGGGAUGACCAACGGCCAAGACUACGACGGGAGGCAGCAGCAAGGAAUUGUCGGCAAGGGGCGCAAGCCUGACCGAGCAACGCGGCGUGCGGGAUGACGGCCUUCGGGUUGUAAGCCGCUUGUGGGGGGGAAGAAACAGACGGUACCCCCAGAAGCAGCCCCGGCUAACUCUGUG
rnacentral:rRNA from 1 species